CAGCACCUCAAGUGGUCAGGAUGAUUAUUGGGCCUAAAGCAUCCGUAGCCGGCGCUGUAAGUUUUCGGUUAAAUCUGUACGCUCAACGUACAGGCUGCCGGGAAUACUGCAGCGCUAGGGAGUGGGAGAGGUAGACGGUACUCGGUAGGAAGGGGUAAAAUCCUUUGAUCUAUUGAUGACCACCUGUGGCGAAGGCGGUAUACCAGAACACGUCCGACGGUGAGGGAUGAAAGCUGGGGGAGCAAACCGGAUUAGAUACCCGAGUAGUCC
rnacentral:rRNA from 1 species